GACGUAGGGCGCGAGCGUUGUCCGGAUUUAUUGGGCGUAAAGAGCUCGUAGGCGGCUUGUCGCGUCGGCCGUUAAAGCUCGGGGCUCAACUCCGAGCCUGCAGUCGAUACGGGCAGACUAGAGUGCUGUAGGGGAGACUGGAAUUCCUGGUGUAGCGGUGAAAUGCGCAGAUAUCAGGAGGAACACCUGCGGCGAAGGCGGGUUGCUGGGCUGACACUGACGCUGAGGCGCGAAAGCUAGGGGAGCGAACGGG
rnacentral:rRNA from 1 species